UACGGAGGGUGCAAGCGUUAUGCGGAUUCACUGGGUUUAAAGGGUGCGUAGGUGGGAUGGUAAGUCAGUGGUGAAAUCUCCAAGCUUAACUUGGAAACUGCCGUUGAUACUAUCAUUCUUGAAUCUCGUGGAGGUAAGCGGAAUAUGUCAUGUAGCGGUGAAAUGCUUAGAUAUGACAUAGAACACCGAUAGCGAAGGCAGCUUGCUACACGAGUAUUGACACUGAGGCACGAAAGCGUGGGGAUCAAACAGG
rnacentral:rRNA from 1 species